rnacentral:rRNA from 1 species
CGGGGUGAGUAAUGUAUGGGGAUCUGCCUGAUGGCGGGGGGUAACUACUGGAAACGGUAGCUAAUACCGCAUAAUGUCUACGGACCAAAGCGGGGGACCUCCGGGCCUCGCGCCAUCAGAUGAACCCAUAUGGGAUUAGCUAGUAGGUGGGGUAACGGCUCACCUAGGCGGCGAUCCCUAGCUGGUCUGAGAGGAUGACCAGCCACACUGGAACUGAGACACGGUCCAG